CCUACGGGUGGCAGCAGUGGGGAAUAUUGGACAAUGGGGGCAACCCUGAUCCAGCCAUGCCGCGUGUGUGAAGAAGGCCCUCGGGUUGUAAAGCACUUUCAGUGAGGAAGAACGCCUGGUGGUUAAUACCCAUCAGGAAAGACAUCACUCACAGAAGAAGCACCGGCUAACUCCGUGCCAGCAGCCGCGGUAAUACGGAGGGUGCGAGCGUUAAUCGGAAUUACUGGGCGUAAAGCGCGCGUAGGUGGCUUGAUAAGCCGGUUGUGAAAGCCCCGGGCUCAACCUGGGAACGGCAUCCGGAACUGUCAAGCUCGAGUGCAGGAGAGGAAGGUAGAAUUCCCGGUGUAGCGGUGAAAUGCGUAGAGAUCGGGAGGAAUACCAGUGGCGAAGGCGGCCUUCUGGACUGACACUGACACUGAGGUGCGAAAGCGUGGGUAGCAAACAGGAUUAGAUACCCCGGUAGUC
rnacentral:rRNA from 1 species